rnacentral:snRNA from 1 species
GGAUGUGAGGUCAAUCUGGAUGUAUUAUCUGUCACUCCACUGAUCACAAGCAUUGAUUCUGCUGAUCUGACUGGCUAAGCGGGUGUCCUCUUCCUCUUUCAUGAUUCUGUGUGAGUUCCUUUGAAGCUGCAAGCUUAGUAGAAGAGAAUGGCCAUCCCAGGUAGAAGGAAUGGACCAUUCUUUUGUCAAAGGUAUAUAGAAUAGAUGUAAUGUCCUGCCAGAACCUCCAAAGAAGCUCAAAAUGCUGCCUUGACUGUUGGAAAAACAAAGGAUAAGAUAAAAGACAAGGAAAAAUUGAAUGAAGCAAGCAGAUUU